rnacentral:misc_RNA from 1 species
GUAAGUCAAAUGUUGUUUCACUUGUUUGAAUAUAUACUUGAAAAAAUUUAGUGGAUUUUGGUCUCUGAUUCCAGCGACACCAUGGAGUGAGAUGGAAAUUCUCAGUACAACGUGGAAAACUGUCAUUUGAUGAACUAUCUUCAGCUUAAGAUCUGUCAUCCUUAUGUAAUAUGUUAGUAGUUCAGGGGGCAUUUUAGGGUUCACUAGCCCAGAUUGAAAAUGUAAACCUAAACGUCUUCAGGGCUUGUUUUCUUAUCUGAUAACAGUACCAUUUUCCUUACUAUUUUCUUAUUUGCUCCACUUUCAAAGCAUUUCUUUACUCACUAAUAAGGUAGGUUGGGUCUCAAUUCAGGCUUUGAAGUCUAAAUACUACUUGAACUGAGUUUUAGGUUAAAACUUUCUUGGGGAUGGCUUGGUUCAACCAGUUGAUCUGGCAUUUAGGCCAUGGAUUUUUAGCUUUUAAUUGUAUGGAUCCUACUCUUACUGAAGGAGUAUCUUUAGCUUAGAUUGUUUACCUGUCCAACCACACAGAGCUUCAAUAGGUUUGCCCCAGCUUUUUCAACAUUCAAAAGCUCAUUCCCAAGUCACUCAUAGAUGCUUAGGUUGUCCUGAGAAUUAAGCAUCAACAGUGAUUCACGUACUUAGUUUUAUGUCUGUGCAGUGCUUUCGAGAAAUCCCUUCGAGCCCGUUUACUGA